rnacentral:rRNA from 1 species
GACGUAGGGCGCGAGCGUUGUCCGGAUUUAUUGGGCGUAAAGAGCUCGUAGGCGGCUUGUCGCGUCGUCCGUGAAAACCCACAGCUCAACUGUGGGCUUGCGGUCGAUACGGGCAGGCUAGAGUUCGGUAGGGGAGACUGGAAUUCCUGGUGUAGCGGUGAAAUGCGCAGAUAUCAGGAGGAACACCGGUGGCGAAGGCGGGUCUCUAGGCCGAUACUGACGCUGAGGAGCGAAAGCGUGGGGAGCGAACAGG